CCUACGGGAGGCAGCAGUAAGGGAUAUUGGUCAAUGGGGGAAACCCUGAACCAGCAACGCCGCGUGAGGGAAGACGGUUUUCGGAUUGUAAACCUCUGUUCUCUGGGAAGAUGAUGACGGUAGCAGGGGAGGAAGCUCUGGCUCAAUAUGUUACAGCAGCGGCGGUAAUACGUAGGGAGCGAGCGUUGUCCGGAUAUAUUGGGCGUGAAGGCUGCGGAGGCGGCUUGGGCAGUAAGUAGUGAAAUGCAUGGGCUUAACCCAUUAACUGCUAUUGAAACUGUCGAGCUUGAGUGAAGUAGAGGUAGGCGGAAUUCCCGGUGUAGCGGUGAAAUGCGUAGAGAUCGGGAGGAACACCAGUGGCGAAGGCGGCCUACUGGGCUUUAACUGACGCUGAGGCACGAAAGCGUGGGUAGCAAACAGGAUUAGAUACCCGAGUAGUC
rnacentral:rRNA from 1 species